rnacentral:rRNA from 1 species
GUUUGAUCCUGGCUCAGGACGAACGCUGGCGGCGUGCCUAACACAUGCAAGUCGAGCGGAGACAGUGAGUAGCUUGCUAUGAACUGUUUUAGCGGCGGACGGGUGAGUAACGCGUGAGCAACCUUUCCCAGACAGGGGAAUAACACACCGAAAGGUGUACUAAUACCGCAUAAGACCACGGGAUCACAUGGUUCUGGGGUAAAAGAAUUAUCGGUUUGGGGUGGGCUCGCGUCCGAUUAGGUAGUUGGUGAGGUAACGGCCCACCAAGCCGACGAUCGGUAGCCGACCUGAGAGGGUGAUCGGCCACAUUGGGACUGAGACACGGCCCAAACUCCUACGGGAGGCAGCAGUGGGGAAUAUUGGGCAAUGGGCGAAAGCCUGACCCAGCAACGCCGCGUGAAGGAAGAAGGUUUUCGGAUCGUAAACUUCUAUCAACAGGGACGAAGAAAGUGACGGUACCUGAAUAAGAAGCCCCGGCUAACUACGUGCCAGCAGCCGCGGUAAUACGUAGGGGGCAAGCGUUGUCCGGAAUAAUUGGGCGUAAAGGGCGCGUAGGCGGCUCGGUAAGUCUGGAGUGAAAGUCCUGCUUUUAAGGUGGGAAUUGCUUUGGAUACUGUCGGGCUUGAGUGCAGGAGAGGUUAGUGGAAUUCCCAGUGUAGCGGUGAAAUGCGUAGAGAUUGGGAGGAACACCAGUGGCGAAGGCGACUAACUGGACUGUAACUGACGCUGAGGCGCGAAAGUGUGGGGAGCAAACAGGAUUAGAUACCCUGGUAGUCCACACUGUAAACG